AACGAACGCUGGCGGCAGGCCUAACACAUGCAAGUCGAACGUGAAGCCACCUUCGGGUGGUGGAAAGUGGCAGACGGGUGAGUAACGCGUGGGAACGUGCCUUUCGGUUCGGGAUAACCCAGGGAAACUUGGGCUAAUACCGGAUACGCCCUCCGGGGGAAAGAUUCAUCGCCGAAAGAUCGGCCCGCGUCGGAUUAGCUAGUUGGUGUGGUAAAAGCCUACCAAGGCGACGAUCCGUAGCUGGUCUGAGAGGAUGACCAUCCACACAUGGACUGAGACACGGCCCAGACUCCUACGGGAGGCAGCAGUGGGGAAUAUUGGACAAUGGGCGCAAGCCUGAUCCAGCCAUGCCGCGUGGGUGAAGCAGGCCCUAGGGUUGUAAACCCCUUUCAGCGGGGAAGAUAAUGACGGUACCCGCAGAAGAAGCCCCGGCUAACUCCGUGCCAGCAGCCGCAGUAAAAC
rnacentral:rRNA from 1 species